rnacentral:misc_RNA from 1 species
GAUCCGUAGGUGAACCUGCGGAUGGAUCAUUAACAAAAAAAAUUAAAAAAAAAACAUUUUUUUUUUUAUAAAUCCCUUUCAUUUCAGUUCUCUCUCCCUCUCUCUCUCUCUUCUCUUCUUUCUCCAUGAUUUUGUGUAAAACAAAAAAACAAAAAAAAAAAAAAAGGAAGGAGGUUGUUGGAAGGAGAGAGAGAGAGAGAGAACAGAAAAGAAAUUUUUGUGGAACAAAAACUCUUUAAUAAUAACGAAAAUCAACUCUUAACAAUGGAUAUCUCGGCUUUCGCAUCGGUGAAGAACGCAGC